UACGUAGGGAGCGAGCGUUGUUCGGAAUUACUGGGCGUAAAGAGUGUGUAGGCGGUGCUCUAAGUUCGGUGUGAAAUCUCCCGGCUUAACUGGGAGGGUGCGCCGGAAACUGGAGUGCUCGAGCGUGGGAGAGGAGAGCGGAAUUCCUGGUGUAGCGGUGAAAUGCGUAGAUAUCAGGAGGAACACCUGCGGUGUAGACGGCUUUCUGGACCAUUGCUGACGCUGAGACACGAAAGCGUGGGUAGCAAACAGG
rnacentral:rRNA from 1 species